rnacentral:rRNA from 1 species
UACGUAGGGCGCAAGCGUUGUCCGGAAUUAUUGGGCGUAAAGAGCUCGUAGGCGGUUUGUCGCGUCUGCUGUGAAAACUGGAGGCUCAACCUCCAGCCUGCAGUGGGUACGGGCAGACUAGAGUGUGGUAGGGGAGACUGGAAUUCCUGGUGUAGCGGUGAAAUGCGCAGAUAUCAGGAGGAACACCGAUGGCGAAGGCAGGUCUCUGGGCCACUACUGACGCUGAGAAGCGAAAGCAUGGGGAGCGAACAGG